rnacentral:rRNA from 1 species
GACGAACGCUGGCGGCGUGCCUAAUACAUGCAAGUAGAACGCACAGUUUAUACCGUAGCUUGCUACACCAUAAACUGUGAGUUGCGAACGGGUGAGUAACGCGUAGGUAACCUGCCUGGUAGCGGGGGAUAACUAUUGGAAACGAUAGCUAAUACCGCAUAAUAUUGAUUAUUGCAUGAUAAUUGAUUGAAAGAUGCUAUUGCAUCACUACCAGAUGGACCUGCGUUGUAUUAGCUAGUAGGUGAGGUAACGGCUCACCUAGGCGACGAUACAUAGCCGACCUGAGAGGGUGAUCGGCCACACUGGGACUGAGACACGGCCCAGACUCCUACGGGAGGCAGCAGUAGGGAAUCUUCGGCAAUGGACGAAAGUCUGACCGAGCAACGCCGCGUGAGUGAAGAAGGUUUUCGGAUCGUAAAGCUCUGUUGUAAGAGAAGAACGGGUGUGAGAGUGGAAAGUUCACACUGCGACGGUAUCUUACCAGAAAGGGACGGCUAACUACGUG